CGUCUAGAACUUUUUACAGUGCUUGGUACUUCAAAGGUGUUUAUUAUAUUAAAUGGAAAUGUCCUAAUCUUAUCAUUUGCUAAAUUACAAUCAUUAGUUAGCCUAGGUUUUUUUUUUUUUUUUUUAAAGACACUUUUAUUCAGCAUCAUGAUCAGACUGUUACAUUUAACAAUCAACAGCAUGGGUGCAAAAAAAAAAAAAUCUACAUUAAAACCCUUUGUUGGAAUGCUUUACACUUUCCACAGAACAGAAACUAAAAUAACCUGUUAUACAAUAGAUCGGAAGCA